UACGGAGGAUCCGAGCGUUAUCCGGAUUUAUUGGGUUUAAAGGGUGCGUAGGCGGUUUGAUAAGUUAGAGGUGAAAUGUCGGGGCUCAACCCCGAAACUGCCUCUAAUACUGUUGGACUAGAGAAUAGUUGCGGUAGGCGGAAUGUAUGGUGUAGCGGUGAAAUGCAUAGAUAUCACACAGAACACCGAUUGCGAAGGCAUCUCACGAAUCCGCGAUUGACGCUGAUGCACGAAAGCGUGGGUAUCAAACAGG
rnacentral:rRNA from 1 species